AUGCAAGCUCGACGUGCCCCAAAGUUUGUUGGCAAAUCAGAUAAAAACAAACUUUUCUGCAACCAUUGUAAAAGGACUGGACACAUAAAGGAUGCAUGCUUUGAGCUGCAUGGCUUUCCAACUUGGUGGGAAAAAGGAAAGUCUCGGCCAGGGGGAGUUCAUGGAGCAAACAAAAAACAAGCUAACCUCACUACAUCCAAGGGGGAGCUACCAGUGGUCGAUGUGCGAGCUCUUGAGGAUUUUACUUCCAAGCUUAGACUCUUAGAAGGCUCGUCUACUUCCCAGGAUUCCUCUAAAGCUGAAUCUAGUUUCUAUAUCAAUUCACACCAAGGAGCUAGCGACAGGGGGACUGUUGGGGACUGGCACCGUGCAUGA
rnacentral:rRNA from 1 species